rnacentral:misc_RNA from 1 species
UUUCCGUAGGUGAACCUGCGGAGGGAUCAUUAAAGAGUUCAUGCCCUACCGGGUAGAUCUCCCACCCUAUGUUACUAUUACUUUGUUGCUUUGUCGGGCCGUUAGGCCUCGGCCCGCCUACCGGCCCCGGCUUGUCAGCGACCGCCCGAGGCCCAUAAACACUUAAUUAUAGAGUUGUCUGAGUAUUUAAUUAUAGAUAAAACAUUCAACUACGGAUCUCUCGGUUCUGGAAUCGAUGAAGCACGAAGCAGAUCGGAUGAGCACCCGUCUGAUACC